GAGGCCAUCUUCAACCGAUCGGGAACAGUCUCCAAUUGGUUAGAGGUGGUCUCUG
rnacentral:pre_miRNA from 1 species